rnacentral:tRNA from 1 species
GCCUGGGUGGCUCAGUCGGUUAAGCGUCUGACUCGGCUCAGGUCAUGAUCUCAAGGUUUGUGGGUUCAAGCCCCACGUCAGGCU